rnacentral:rRNA from 1 species
AGCGAACGCUGGCGGCAGGCCUAACACAUGCAAGUCGAGCGGGCCCUUCGGGGUCAGCGGCGGACGGGUGAGUAACGCGUGGGAACGUGCCCUCUGGUCUGGAAUAACCCUGGGAAACUAGGGCUAAUACCGGACACGCCCUUUUGGGGAAAGGUUUACUGCCGGAAGAUCGGCCCGCGUCUGAUUAGCUAGUUGGUGGGGUAACGGCCUACCAAGGCGACGAUCAGUAGCUGGUCUGAGAGGAUGAUCAGCAACACUGGGACUGAGACACGGCCCAGACUCCUACGGGAGGCAGCAGUGGGGAAUAUUGAACACUGGGCGCGAGACUGAGCCAGCCAUGCCGCGUGAGUGAUGAAGGACUUAGGGUUGUAAAGCUCUUUUAUCCGGGACGAUAAUAAGGGUACCGGAGGAAUAAGCCCGGGCGAACUUCGU